rnacentral:lncRNA from 1 species
UGUUCCUUUAUUGCUGUAAAUUCCUAUGUUUGCAAAAUAUAAUCAGCCCAGUACAGCAAGUAAACAUGAUUGUUAUUUUUAUUUAUUUCAGCCAUGACUUCUCAUCGUCCUCAAGAAAUUUCACCAGAGCAAAGAAUAAAAGAGGGAGAGGGAAGAUAUGGAAAGUCGGCCCUAGAUUAUUUACCACUAAGAAAACAAUGGGAAAAUAUAGUUUCUUAUUUAUCUAUUCCCAAUGGACAUCCUCUGUCACCAGGCCCUGGGUCUCAGCUCUGGAGGAGCACGCCGUGUCCCCAUAUGAACAGGUGCUGUAGUGUCCACAUCUGUUUCUGUGGACCUUCAUGAUAAUCCCACAUGUUCUUCAACACUGUCUCAAUUUGUGUGUACAAUGUGACUUUAUUGUACAAUCCCUCCUUUUUAAAGACUUUGAUUGCUUUGUGAUGAUGGGACAUUUAGAUACCUGCUAUUUGAAGGGUCUGUUCAUUGCUCUUACCUGCAUUUCUCUCGAAGUCUCUGUUCUACUU